ensembl:lincRNA Kantr Kdm5c adjacent non-coding transcript
AGGGUUCGGUGGAGCAUUGCGUGAAGCGUCUGCGUGUCUGCGAGAUCUUGCUGUGGGCCAGGUAUCCAUUCUCCUGCGGCUGCUUAGACCCUACGGAGACUAGAGGUCCGUGGGUGGUGGAGGAUCCUUUGCGUAGCAAAAAAAGAAGGCGAGUGCCCCUGCAUCCUCUCCAGACGGUACCCAGGGUCUCGCUUUUCAGAUCUAGCUGUUGUGGACCUCACUGAGAUCCCCAUCUGCCUACAAAGUGCUGGGAUUAAAGGUGCGUACCACUAUGCCUGGCAAAAAGCCCCAUAUUGUCUUGAGGACAUCUCUUCACCAGUUUUAUCUCCCAUAUAAAACAGCAUUAACACACAAAUGUUCUCUUACUACUUCCCAUCUUUUCUAGUCCCAUAUUUCUAGUGCUGAGAAUUGAGCUAUCUCAAAUGCUAAGCAUACACCUUACCACUAAGCCACACCCUCUGCCUACUUCCAUCUUUUUUGUCACAACUUUAGUGAGAUGUAUUUUACAUGCUGUAAAAUUUAACUUUUUUUAAAAUUUUUAUUUAUUUAUUAUAUGUAAGUACACUGUAGCUGUCUUCAGACACUCCAGAAGAGGGCAUCAGAUUUCGUUACGGAUGGUUGUGAUCCACCAUGUGGUUGCUGGGAUUUGAACUUGGGACCUUUGGAAGAGCA